rnacentral:rRNA from 1 species
UACGGAGGGUGCGAGCGUUGUCCGGAAUCACUGGGCGUAAAGGCGCGUAGGCGGCCUGAUAAGUAGGGGGGUGAAAUCCUGCGGCUUAACCGCAGGGCUGCCUUCUAAACUGUCAGGCUGGAGCACAGUAGAGGCAGGUGGAAUUCCCGGUGUAGCGGUGGAAUGCGUAGAGAUCGGGAAGAACAUCAGUGGCGAAGGCGGCCUGCUGGGCUGUUGCUGACGCUGAGGCGCGACAGCGUGGGGAGCAAACAGG